rfam:Cavia porcellus supercont2_7 genomic scaffold, whole genome shotgun sequence.
UUAGCUCAGUGGUGUAAGCACCUGCCUGGCAAGCAUGAGGUUGUGAGUUCGAUCCCCAUA